rnacentral:rRNA from 1 species
UGGGGAAUUUUGGACAAUGGGCGAAAGCCUGAUCCAGCAAUGCCGCGUGUGUGAAGAAGGCCUUCGGGUUGUAAAGCACUUUUGUCCGGAAAGAAAUCCUUGGCUCUAAUACAGUCGGGGGAUGACGGUACCGGAAGAAUAAGCACCGGCUAACUACGUGCCAGCAGCCGCGGUAAUACGUAGGGUGCAAGCGUUAAUCGGAAUUACUGGGCGUAAAGCGUGCGCAGGCGGUUUGCUAAGACCGAUGUGAAAUCCCCGGGCUCAACCUGGGAACUGCAUUGGUGACUGGCAGGCUAGAGUAUGGCAGAGGGGGGUAGAAUUCCACGUGUAGCAGUGAAAUGCGUAGAGAUGUGGAGGAAUACCGAUGGCGAAGGCAGCCCCCUGGGCCAAUACUGACGCUCAUGCACGAAAGCGUGGGGAGCAAACAGGAUUAGAUACCCUGGUAGUCCACGCCCUAAACGAUGUCAACUAGUUGUUGGGGAAUUCAUUUCCUUAGUAACGUAGCUAACGCGUGAAGUUGACCGCCUGGGGAGUACGGUCGCAAGAUUAAAACUCAAAGGAAUUGACGGGGUCAUA